rnacentral:rRNA from 1 species
AGCCGCCGCGGUAACACCGGCGGCCCGAGUGGUGAUCGUGAUUAUUGGGUCUAAAGGGUCCGUAGCCGGUUUGGUCAGUCCUCCGGGAAAUCUGAUAGCUCAACUAUUAGGCUUUCGGGGGAUACUGCCGGACUUGGAACCGGGAGAGGGUAAGAGGUACUACAGGGGUAGGAGUGAAAUCUUGUAAUCCCUGUGGGACCACCUGUGGCGAAGGCGUCUUACCAGAACGGGUUCGACGGUGAGGGACGAAAGCUGGGGGCACGAACCGGAUUAGAUACCCGGGUAGUCCCAGCCGUAAACGAUGCUCGCUAGGUGUCAGGCAUGGCGCGACCGUGUCUGGUGCCGCAGGGAAGCCGUGAAGCGAGCCACCUGGGAAGUACGGCCGCAAGGCUGAAACUUAAAGGAAUUGGGCGGGGGAGCACAACAACGGGUGGAGCCCUGCGGUUUAAUUGGACUCAACGCCGGACAACUCACCGGGGGCGACAGCAAUAUGUAGGCCAAGCUGAAGACUUUGCCUGAAUCGCUGAGGAGUGGUGCAUGG